rnacentral:rRNA from 1 species
GACGAACGCUGGCGGCGUGCUUAACACAUGCAAGUCGAACGGAAAGGCCCUGCUUUUGUGGGGUGCUCGAGUGGCGAACGGGUGAGUAACACGUGAGUAACCUGCCCUUGACUUUGGUAUAACUUCAGGAAACUGGGGCUAAUACCGGAUAGGCGCUCCUGCUGCAUGGUGGGGGUUGGAAAGUUUCGGCGGUUGGGGAUGGACUCGCGGCUUAUCAGCUUGUUGGUGGGGUAGUGGCUUACCAAGGCUUUGACGGGUAGCCGGCCUGAGAGGGUGACCGGCCACAUUGGGAAUGAGAUACGGCCCAGACUCCUACGGGAGGCAGCAGUGGGGAAUAUUGCACAAUGGGCGGAAGCCUGAUGCAGCAACGCCGCGUGCGGGAUGACGGCCUUCGGGUUGUAAACCGCUUUCGCCUGUGACGAAGCGUGAGUGACGGUAAUGGGUAAAGAAGCACCGGCUAACUAAGUG